UACAGAGGGUGCGAGCGUUGUCCGGAAUCACUGGGCGUAAAGGGCGCGUAGGUGGCCUGUCGCGUCGGCUGUGAAAACUCGGGGCUCAACUCCGAGCUUGCAGUCGAUACGGGCAGGCUAGAGUUCGGCAGGGGAGACUGGAAUUCCUGGUGUAGCGGUGAAAUGCGCAGAUAUCAGGAGGAACACCGGUGGCGAAGGCGGGUCUCUGGGCCGUAACUGACGCUGAGGAGCGAAAGCGUGGGGAGCGAACAGG
rnacentral:rRNA from 1 species